rnacentral:tRNA from 1 species
UACCCACGCCGGGAAUCGAACCAGGCCUUCUGAGUGAAAGCCAGAUAGCUUAGCCACUAGACCACGUGGGA